rnacentral:rRNA from 1 species
AUUGAACGCUGGCGGCAGGCCUAACACAUGCCAGUCGAGCGGAUGAAGGGAGCUUGCUCCUGGAUUCAGCGGCGGACGGGUGAGUAAUGCCUAGGAAUCUGCCUGGUAGUGGGGGAUAACGUCCGGAAACGGGCGCUAAUACCGCAUACGUCCUGAGGGAGAAAGUGGGGGAUCUUCGGACCUCACGCUAUCAGAUGAGCCUAGGUCGGAUUAGCUAGUUGGUGGGGUAAAGGCCUACCAAGGCGACGAUCCGUAACUGGUCUGAGAGGAUGACCAGUCACACUGGAACUGAGACACGGUCCAGACUCCUACGGGAGGCAGCAGUGGGGAAUAUUGGACAAUGGGCGAAAGCCUGAUCCAGCCAUGCCGCGUGUGUGAAGAAGGUCUUCGGAUUGUAAAGCACUUUAAGUUGGGAGGAAGGGCAGUAAGUUAAUACCUUGCUGUUUUGACGUUACCAACAGAAUAAGCACCGGCUAACUUCGUG